UGUUUAUACCGUUUAUUUUAUUAUUUUUAUUUUUGUCAUGUUAAAAAAAAAUUUAUUUAUAUUUUGUUACGUAGUGUUAACUUAUAUACUACUAAAGAAAGAUUUAAUUUCAAUCAAACGCUUCGAUUAUUACUUGACAUUGAAUGCAUUGUAAUUCAGUAUAUGUAAUUCAAAUUAUCUAUAUUUCUUAACCCUUGGGUAUGUAUAGUAUUCGGAUAUAUCUUUAUGGAAUCAUUUGGGAGAAGAAACCAAAGUACUAUACCUUGGUAUGAAGUGUGCGCAAGGAACCUUCCUACAGGUCUUAUUGCAUCGACAGUUCUUGUCCACCUUUUCAAAAACUAAAACUAAACUAAGUCGUUAAUUAUACCACUGUAAAAUUGGUACAAUGCAUUUUUCGUGUGCGAACAUUCAAGUUAUUUCCCUCAGUAAUGCAGGUACGCAUGCAAAUAUGAGGCCAGUUUGGACAACCGACAGCGUCAUCCAUACGAAUAAUCUCUAAUGCAAAUCCAAUUAUAAAUCAAAUGCGAAAAGCCCACUUAAGUUCACUGCUAUCACCAGCGAAAUUUACUCAAAGUAACUAUCUGAAAAUCAAAAAUAGUACGAGGGUCUUCACCGUUUCAAGUUAACAUCCAAAUUUCUAAUAAAAAUCAGAAAGAAAACUAAAGGAAAUCGACAUUUAUUACCUUAUUC